GCUAGGUAUAGUGGCCUGUGCCUGUAGUCCCAGCUACUGGAAGGCUAAGGCAGAAGAACCACUGGAGCCCAAGAGUUCAAGGCCAGCCUGGGCAACACAGACAA
rnacentral:sRNA from 1 species